rnacentral:misc_RNA from 1 species
CUUCUCUCUGUUUCUCUUCCUUCUCCAUCUCUUCUUUUCGCCUCCUAUUCUCUUCGUCUUUCUCAUUGCCCAAAACCCUCAUUUCUUCUUCCAUUCUCAUUUUCUCUCAAAUCUCAUUUUAGAUCUCCAAAUUUAUCUACAAAAAUGAAGGAAUCGGAAGGAAAUCCUCUGCAUCUCAAGUCGAUUAACCACAUAUCGCUUCUUUGUAAAUCAGUGGAAG